GGCAGAGGUUGUAUUCAUCAUGGUACUGACAGGGCAGAGGUUGUAUUCAUCAUGGUACUGACAGGGAAGAGGUUGUAUUCAUCAUGGUACUGACAGGGCAGAGGUUGUAUUCAUCAUGGUACUGACAGGGCAGAGGUUGUAUUCAUCAUGGUACUGACAGGGCAGAGGUUGUAUUCAUCAUGGUACUGACAGGGCAGAGGUUGUAUUCAUUAUGAUACUGACAGGGCAGAGGUUGUAUUCAUCAUGAUACUGACAGGGCAGAGGUUGUAUUCAUCAUGGUACUGACAGGGCAGAGGUUGUAUUCAUCAUGGUACUGACAGGGCAGAGGUUGUAUUCAUUAUGAUACUGACAGGGCAGAGGUUGUAUUCAUCAUGAUACUGACAGGGCAGAGGUUGUAUUCAUUAUGAUACUGACUGUGAUACUGACAGGGCAGAGGUUGUAUUCAUCAUGGUACUGACAGGGCAGAGGUUGUAUUCAUCAUGGUACUGACAGGGCAGAGGUUGUAUUCAUUAUGAUACUGACAGGGCAGAGGUUGUAUUCAUCAUGAUACUGACAGGGCAGAGGUUGUAUUCAUUAUGAUACUGACUGUGAUACUGACAGGGCAGAGGUUGUAUUCAUCAUGGUACUGACAGGGCAGAGGUUGUAUUCAUCAUGGUACUGACAGGGCAGAGGUUGUAUUCAUCAUGGUACUGACAGGGCAGAGGUUGUAUUAAUCAUGGUACUGACAGGGCAGAGGUUGUAUUCAUCAUGGUACUGACAGGGCAGAGGUUGUAUUCAUCAUGGUACUGACAGGGCAGAGGUUGUAUUCAUCAUGGUACUGACAGGGCAGAGGUUGUAUUCAUCAUGGUACUGACAGGGCAGAGGUUGUAUUCAUCAUGGUACUGACAGGGCAGAGGUUGUAUUCAUCAUGGUACUGACAGGGCAGAGGUUGUAUUCAUCAUGGUACUGACAGUGCAGAGGUUGUAUUCAUCAUGGUACUGACAGGGCAGAGGUUGUAUUCAUCAUGGUACUGACAGGGCAGAGGUUGUAUUCAUCAUGGUACUGACAGUGCAGAGGUUGUAUUAAUCAUGGUACUGACAGGGCAGAGGUUGUAUUCAUCAUGGUACUGACAGGGCAGAGGUUGUAUUCAUCAUGGUACUGACAGUGCAGAGGUUGUAUUCAUCAUGGUACUGACAGGGCAGAGGUUGUAUUCAUCAUGGUACUGACAGGGCAGAGGUUGUAUUCAUCAUGGUACUGACAGGGCAGAGGUUGUAUUCAUCAUGGUACUGACAGAAAGGUUGUAUUCAUCAUGGUACUGACAGUGCAGAGGUUGUAUUCAUCAUGGUACUGACAGGGCAGAGGUUGUAUUCAUCAUGGUACUGACAGGGCAGAGGUUGUAUUCAUCAUGGUACUGACAGGGCAGAGGUUGUAUUCAUCAUGGUACUGACAGGGCAGAGGUUGUAUUCAUUAUGAUACUGACAGGGCAGAGGUUGUAUUCAUUAUGAUACUGACAGGGCAGAGGUUGUAUUCAUCAUGGUACUGACAGGGCAGAGGUUGUAUUCAUCAUGGUACUGACAGGGCAGAGGUUGUAUUCAUCAUGGUACUGACAGGGCAGAGGUUGUAUUCAUCAUGGUACUGACAGGGCAGAGGUUGUAUUCAUCAUGGUACUGACAGGGCAGAG